GGAACGGUCUGCAUCAGAGCUUGUGGAUCAGGCAGAACUGUCUGUUGUGGUUCCGGAGGCUGAAGUGGAAACAACCGCCGCUGCCCCUGUGGUUGUGGUAACUUUCUUUCUUAUUUGUCCACACUCUCCUGCAUUUCUGCCUUGUUCUUUAUUUUUAACUGUUGUAGCCUUUUCAGGUAGAAGUGCCUAAAGCUGUUGGCGUCCU
rnacentral:lncRNA from 1 species